rnacentral:rRNA from 1 species
AACGCGAAGAACCUUACCCAGAUUUGACAUGCAGAUGACGUACGCAGAAAUGCGUAUUCCCUUCGGGGCAUCUGCACAGGUGCUGCAUGGCUGUCGUCAGCUCGUGCCGUGAGGUGUUGGGUUAAGUCCCGCAACGAGCGCAACCCUUAUCAUUAGUUGCCAUCACUUCGGGUGGGCACUCUAAUGAGACUGCCUGGGUUAACCAGGAGGAAGGUGAGGAUGACGUCAAGUCCGCAUGGCCCUUACAUCUGGGGCUACACACGUACUACAAUGGUCGGUACAGAAGGCAGCUAAGCCGCAAGGUAGAGCAAAUCCUAGAAAACCGAUCUCAGUUCAGAUUGUGGUCUGCAACUCGACCACAUGAAGUCGGAAUUGCUAGUAAUGGCGAGUCAGCAACAUCGCCGUGAAUACGUUCCCGGGCCUUGUACACACCGUAGUAC